CUUAGUACGGCGAGUGAAGCGGCAAAAGCUCAAAUUUGAAAGCUAGCACCUUCGGUGUUCGCGUUGUAAUUUGAAGAUAGUUUCCUUGAGUAGUCCUUUAUCUAUGUUCCUUGGAACAGGACGUCAUAGAGGGUGAGAACCCCGUAUGAUUUUGGAUACUACUCUUUGUGGGAUUCUAUCGAAGAGUCGAGUUGUUUGGGAAUGCAGCUCUAAGUGGGUGGUAAAUUCCAUCUAAAGCUAAAUAUUGGCGAGAGACCGAUAGCGAACAAGUACAGUGAUGGAAAGAUGAAAAGAACUCUGAAGAGAGAGUGAAAAAGUACGUGAAAUUGCUGAAAGGGAAGGGCUUGAGGUCAGACUUGGUGUUUAAUGAUUAUCAGUUCUUCUUGGACUGUGCACUCGUUUUUCACCGGGCCAAUAUCAGUUUUAGCGGUAGAGUACCCCUUGAAAUGUGGCUUCCUUCGGGGAGUGUUAUAGUCUUGGGGAGAUCUACUUGCUGGGACUGAGGACUGCGCUUCGGCAAGGAUAUUGGCGUAAUGACCUUAAGCCGCCCGUCUUGAAACACGGACCAA
rnacentral:rRNA from 1 species